rnacentral:rRNA from 1 species
UACGUAGGGUGCGAGCGUUGUCCGGAAUUAUUGGGCGUAAAGAGCUCGUAGGCGGUUUGUCGCGUCGACUGUGAAAACCCGAGGCUUAACCUCGGGCCUGCAGUCGAUACGGGCAGACUAGAGGUAUGCAGGGGAGAACGGAAUUCCUGGUGUAGCGGUGAAAUGCGCAGAUAUCAGGAGGAACACCAGUGGCGAAGGCGGUUACCUGGAGCUUUGCUGACGCUGAUGCGCGAAAGCGUGGGGAGCGAUCCGG